AACGCGAAGAACCUUACCUGCUCUUGACAUACUUGGAAUCUCCUGUAAACAGGAGAGUGCCUUCGGGAACCGAGAUACAGGUGCUGCAUGGCUGUCGUCAGCUCGUGUCGUGAGAUGUUGGGUUAAGUCCCGUAACGAGCGCAACCCUCGUCCUUAGUUGCCAGCACGUAAUGGUGGGAACUCUAAGGAGACCGCCGGUGAUAAACCGGAGGAAGGUGGGGAUGAUGUCAAGUCAUCAUGGCCCUUAUGAGCAGGGCUACACGCGUGCUACAAUGGACAGUACAAAGGGUUGCCAAGCCGCGAGGUGGAGCUAAUCCCCAAAAACCGUCCUCAGUUCGGAUUGCAGGCUGCAACUCGCCUGCAUGAAGCUGGAAUCGCUAGUAAUGCUAUAUCAGAACGAUAGCGUGAAUACGUUCCCGGGCCUUGUACACACCGACUGUAC
rnacentral:rRNA from 1 species